AAGUCGUAACAAGGUCUCCGUUGGUGAACCAGCGGAGGGAUCAUUACCGAGUACUAUAACUCAUAACCCUUUGUGAACCUUCAUACCUGUUGCUUCGGCGGAGGGCCCUUCAGGGGGCUGUUCGCCGGAGGACCGCUAAACUCUUGUAUUUUUGGCCUCUCUGAGUAAUUCUAUAAUGAAUCAAAACUUUCAACAACGGAUCUCUUGGCUCCA
rnacentral:misc_RNA from 1 species